UACGUAGGGUGCAAGCGUUAAUCGGAAUUACUGGGCGUAAAGAGUGCGUAGGCGGCUAUGUAAGACAGAUGUGAAAUCCCUGGGCUUAACCUAGGAACUGCAUUUGUGACUGCAUGGCUAGAGUGUGGUAGAGGGAGAUGGAAUUCCGCAUGUAGCAGUGAAAUGCGUAGAGAUGUGGAGGAACACCGAUGGCGAAGGCAGCCUUCUGGGCCAACACUGACGCUCAUGCACGAAAGCGUGGGGAGCAAACAGG
rnacentral:rRNA from 1 species